rnacentral:rRNA from 1 species
UACGUAGGGUGCGAGCGUUUAAUCGGAAUUACUGGGCGUAAAGCGUGCGUAGGCGGUUCGUUAAGUUCGUUGUGAAAGCCCCGGGCUCAAGCCUGGGAACUGCAAUGGAAACUGGCGGGGCUUGGAGUGUGGCGAGAGGGGGGUGGGAAUUCCGCGGUGUAGCAGUGAAAUGCGUAGAGAUGCGGAGGAACACCGGAUGGCGGAAGGCAGCCCCCUGGGCCAACACUGACGCUGAUGCGCGAAAGCCAGGGGAGCGAACGGG